GGGGGGGGGGGGGUGAUUUACUGCUGGCAGGGAAUUUUUUUUCUGGGAUCGUUAUGUGCAAGAUAUUUUUUUUAUCACCAUCACCAUGUACGAUUUUUUUUUUGCCACACUUUCUUUCGCAGCAUUUUUUUUUUCAAUAGCUUAUACUAUUUAGAUUAUAGUUAACGUUGAGUUUUUUAGCUUCAUGCAUUGCUCUUAAUAAUACAUUUUGCUAUGAGGUAUAACAUUUGGUUCAGUGCCUUUUUUAAGGAUGUGCAACUGGAGAGGACAUAAUUACCGGGGGACCUGGAGAAG